GCGAAAUCCAUAUUGCAUUAACUAUGUCAGAUUCAGGUAUGCUUCCGCUUUAAUUAUUAUAUUUCUUGAUGAUUUAACAUGAAAGAUCCGGUAUUUAAAGAAUUAAAUUAUCCAACAAUCUGUUCUCUUUUGCAGCUAAGCUUCAAAUUUUGGUUAUUUGUUCUCUAUAUAUAUCUACAGUUCAUUCUCUCUCUCAACAAGUAUCAGUAAACGCAUGGCUUCUUGAAAGCUUCAGAUCUAAUCUGAGCACAAACAAAAUGGAUCCUAAAAAGGUAAAAUUAAGUGAUCUCAGUGAAAAUAUUUUGAGGCUUUACUCCAAAACAAAAGCAUUCCUUUUUGUUUCUGUUUUCACGUUCUUCAUUAAUUUCCUCUCUUCUGAUUGUUGUCCAAUGUGUAGAUCCCCUUUGGACAAAUCCUUUAAAAUUCAUCUUAAAAUUAAUUUCUUGAAAAUAUGUAACUUAGCUACGAAUACGAUACAUAUGUGUCCUCCCGUUCAAAUUACUGAUUUAUGAUUUUGCUCAAAUCUGUUUUACAGGGCUUUCAAACCACUCUUAAUUCGUAAGAAAAUUGACUGGAAAUCUUCAAAUUGAUUUUUUUACAGACAUGGUUCAAAUUAUACUGAUUACUCGAUUCAACUAGAGUUUUUUCAAUAUUCAAACAUUGUAAUAUAUCCUGUAAAUUGUUUCUUUGAUUUGCUUUUUUCUUCGUGUUUUCAUUUUUUCUCUUCAUUUCUUUCCACCUCUUUUUAUGGUUUUGUUUUGUUUUUCUGUAUUUCUCUUCUUUGUAAUGCUAAACAAAGAUUCUAGAUAUGUAAAUCAAUGCACGUUUAUGCUUAUGUGUAUAUGCAUUGUCCAGAUCUUUAAGUUAUUAAUGGGCUUUGAACUUUUUUUCCAAAUAUAAUAACCUAAGAUGAGUACUAGAAUAUUCUCUAAGUAAAUGUACAAAGUGAUUAGUAUUAGAAGUUACAGAAAAAGGAAGGAAAGGAGAAUUCAAAGCUUUCACAUCUGUGUUUCAUCUUAAAAAGGGAAAUACAGCUUAAU
rnacentral:lncRNA from 1 species